AGUCGUGUGAGCGACUAUAAACAGGCUUUAGGCUCACAGCGUCGCGGGGUUUAUCCCCCGUGGGUAGCA
rnacentral:ribozyme from 2 species